rnacentral:rRNA from 1 species
AACAGAGGGUGCGAGCGUUAAUCGGAAUUACUGGGCGUAAAGCGUGCGUAGACGGUUAUUUAAGUCGGGUGUGAAAGCCCCGGGCUCAACCUGGGAAUUGCAUUCGAGACUGAAUAGCUAGGGUACGGUAGAGGGAAGCGGAAUUUCCGGUGUAGCGGUGAAAUGCGUAGAUAUCGGAAGGAACAUCAGUGGCGAAAGCGGCUUCCUGGACCAGUACCGACGUUCAGGCACGAAAGCGUGGGGAGCAAACAGG